AGUGAACGCUGGCGGUGGGCCUAACACAUGCAAGUCGAACGGACGCACAGUAAGAGCUCGCUCUUACGGGUGGCGAGUGGCGGACGGGUGAGGAAUACAUCGCAAUCUACUUUUACGUGGGGAAUAACGUAGACAAACUCACGCUAAUACCGAAAACUAGAUACGGGUGAAUCCAUAGGGACAUAGGAUUUUGCGCGAUCUAAUGAGUCGAUGUCGGAUUAGCUAGUUGGCGGGGUAAAGGCCCACCAAGGCGACGAUCCGUAGCUGGUCUGAGAGGAUGAUCGGCCACACUGGAACUGAGACACGGUCCAGACUCCUACGGGAGGCAGCAGUGGGGAAUAUUCGACAAUGGGCGCAAGCCUGAUGGAGCAAUGCCGCGUGAGUGAUGAAGGUCUUCGGGUUGUAAAGCUCUGUUAUUGGGAAAGAAAAACAGCAUAAGUAAAUCCGCCUGUUCUGACGGUACCCAAAGAGAAAGCCCCGGCUAACUACGUG
rnacentral:rRNA from 1 species